CUUCAUAAGCUCCGCCCGCUCCAGCAGUUUCCCGUAGAAAUGCUGGCAGGUGUGACAGAGGCGGGGCCGGGGCCCCAUCUGGGCGGAGCAGCGGUUGCAGUAGUUCUUCUUGCAGUCGACACAGGUGUGCUGCAGACAGGUGAGAGGAGGAGGUUCUGUCAGAGUCCCGCAGAGCGCUGAUCUGUUUUCAGGUGCCCUCACGCCGAUUUGAGCUCAAAUCUGAAAACCCCGCCCCCUUUAGGACCUAGAUUCUGCAGAGCGGCAGGACUUCAUUCCUCUGAGUUGUAGACACGGAGCAGGCCUGGAUUAAAGUCCCAUCAUCCCUUUGUUUACACGCCGUCCCGCUAGCUUACAGCCCCUCACACCCCCAACAUAACAUUAGCAUUAGCGGAGUUAUCAACCCGUCCGGUUCCGAUCCGGAUUCCAGCUCAGACUGAGAAAACAAAGACGGUUGUGGAUCUGUUUGACAGUGGAGCUAUCAGAUUGUGCUGCGUCACAAACCUGCGGGUUUUCAUCUGGUUCUGAUCCGAUAAAUACUCAGAAAUACGUUUUGGCCCUAAAUAUCUUAUAAAUCUCCAGGGGGGGGGUGUCUUUCAAUGUUCAUAAGGGGAACUCCAGCAGGAGUUAGGGGGACUUGCAGGACAAGCCCCCUAGUGGCUACGUGGUGAACUGACCUGGCUCCAGUUUGGCUGUUAGAGCAGCUUCAACCUGGAAGUGGAGCCGUGGGAGCCGUCCUUACCUUCUUGGUGUGCGUGUCAAAGCGGCCCUUGCAGGCCUCGCAGCUGUGCUCCGGCGAGGGCGGCUGGCUGCUGUUGAAGGCGGAGUUAGUGUAGGCCUGGUCUUCUGUGGCGCCGCCAUCCGCCUCGUCCACGCACAUCCAGUUACAGCAGGACAAAAACAUGCUGUACACGCGCUGACGUCACUGACAGGUGUUGAUCGAGCAGUCACCAACUACAUUUUUCUGGGGUGGGGGGAGGGCAGGUGAGGGUCAGGGGCUGAAGGUAAGAACCCCCCCCCACACACACACACACACUUCCCGGUCCAGUUGUCGGUCAUCUGUUGCCAGGCAGGAACUGACCUCAUACCACAAAAGGAACGUGAAAGGAAA
rnacentral:lncRNA from 1 species